rnacentral:rRNA from 2 species
CGCCUCUUGUAAUCAUAAGAGGUCCAGCCUGCCCAGUGAUUUUUAUUCAACGGCCGCGGUAUUCUAACCGUGCAAAGGUAGCGUAAUCACUUGUUUUUUAAAUAAAGACCAGUAUGAAAGGCACCACGAGGACUUAACUGUCUCCUUUCUCCAAUCAGUGAACCUAAUCCCCCCGUGAAAAAGCGGGGAUCCCCCUAUAAGACGAGAAGACCCUGUGGAGCUUAAGAUACCAUAACAAUUGCCACACCACCAGCCACCCCGAUGUCUCCCCCAACAGCACCCUGUUUAUGUAUCUUUGGUUGGGGUGACCGCGGAGAAAAACCCAUCCUCCGCAAUGAAAAGGACUUCCCACCUUAAACAACAAGUUACUACUUUACGUAUCAAAAUUGACAUUCAUUGACCCAAUAAUUGAUUAACGAACCAAGUUACCCCAGGGAUAACAGCACAAUCCACUUUGAGAGCCCCUAUCGACAAGUGGGCUUAUGACCUCGAUGUUGGAUCAGGAUAUCCUAGUGGUGCAACCACUACUAAAGGUUCGUUUGUUCAACGAUUAAAAUCCU